ensembl:lncRNA
AAACUAGAAAUAAAUUAUUUGGGUCAAAUUAAUUUAUUCCCUCCCCUAUACCUGAUUAUGUUCAUGAACAGUCAUAACCUAGUAUUAUGCUCAGAAUGAAAUAUCCAGAUUUAUCUGUACUUCAUGACUCAAACUGUUACUACUGGACAAAUCAAUCUUUUAAUUGAAGUAGUCAUUUAAAAAAAAAAAACAGUCCCUUUCUACUUCUAUAUAGUUACAUGAAUUUUUUAGAAGUGUCAUACAUACAAUAGCUCCCCUAGUGUGACAGUUCAGUGGGAAAGCGCAAUUACAAAACUUUACAUUACAGUAAUUUCUCCAUUAUGGGAUAAUUAUUUACAUUUAAGUGAAACAGCUUCACACAAUUAUUCAUAAAUCAAAAAUAGAAUUCUUCUGGUUUAAUAUUUAAAAGCUGUUGAGGUGCAAGGUCAUAUGUCAGCUGUGAUGGCCGUAAACCUGAAGAUUAGCAGCAUUCCUCUCCGAUGAUUUCAGUGUUCUUUCAAAUGAUGAGUGAACAUUAUUUUUGCUGUUCAGGGGAGUGCUUGACAUUUGAUUUUCAAACCAGUUUAACCAUAUGAAAAGGGUUAAUUUUUCCAUGAAAGAGAACUCUGAGCUAACUCUUUUGGGCAAAACUACCUCUGGGUUACAAUAAGAAGUUAGUUGAGUUGAAGCUACUGAAUUAACCUUGAGUUUUCUCUGGAACAAGGAACAUUGCUCAGUAAGUCUGUGAAGCCCAGCAAGCAGCAGAGCCCUGAAGCAUCAAGAAAAGAGUCACAGCAGAUUUGUACCAGCAUAAUUUUGACUACAAUUAAGUAUACUGAUCUUGAUCUCUGCACUGGGUUACAUGAUCUAACAGUAAUAUUGAUUACUGCAAGAACUGACAUGGUGCUUGGAGCUGUACAUGACAUAAAAAGGAGAAGAGAAGAAUACAUUGGGAGAAACAAAAGAAUGGAGAUGACAUCAAAGUCUGGGUAGAUCAAUGAUAACACAUUCAUACAGGAAAACAUCUGAAGGCUUCACAAGAUAAGGAAAGCUGCAACAAGGAAGUGCUUUGUUAUUUAUGCUACAUAGCAGAACAGCAACUGGGAGCUGUGGAUUCUGGGAAAAGGCUGGGCCUUUAAGGAGCUAUUGCAAUAUAAAAAUUAACUGGAUAAGUAGGUCAUUAUAGACCCAGGGUCAGACCUAGCAGAAGGCAUGACAUACCUUUCAGUUUCUCAAUGCUGUUAACGUAACAUUUAGUUUACUCAUUCUUGUCUGCACAAAGUAAUGGUUGUAUGUAUAUUGCCUAACAUAAGAGAAGCCUUAUGGGAAUACACUAAGUAGUCCGCGUGUCCCUUAUAAACACAAGUAAAGAUUAUGAAACUAAUUGGUCAUCUGCUUUCUGUCUCUCUUAACGUUAAGUGUGAUUGGCUAAACUACAGCUCAGGAAGCACUUCAGUGGGCACAUCUACACAAGAUGCUAAAUGUGCAGUAGACUAAUUCUACUGCGUAUUAACAUGUCACAGCAGAAGCCGUGCUAACGUACUAAUGUUCAAUUGAAUUAAUCUACUGCACAUUAGCGUCAUGAAAAGACCAUGCACCAGCACUACUGUGCAGUAGCACCAGUUACUGUGCAUUCAGUUAGUACUUAUCACGGAUACUAAACACGCAGUAGCAAUGGCACAUUAAUGAACAUGUAGACAUGCCCAGUGUCCAAUAAAAUUUGUGUAAUGUUAAACA